rnacentral:hammerhead_ribozyme from 1 species
GCACUACUGAAGAGUCCCAUACUAGAACGAAAUGGCCGUCCAGUGC